GAACCGUGCGAACGUUAUUCGGAUUCACUGGGCUUAAAGGGCGCGUAGGCGGCUACCCAAGUCGGGGGUGAAAUCUUUCGGCCCAACCGGAAAAUAGCCUCCGAUACUGUGUAGCUCGAGGGAGAUAGGGGCACGCGGAACUUCCGGUGGAGCGGUGAAAUGCGUAGAUAUCGGAAGGAACGCCGGUGGCGAAAGCGGCGUGCUGGAUCUCUUCUGACGCUGAUGCGCGAAAGCCAGGGGAGCGAACGGGAUUAGAUACCCCGGUAGUCCUGGCCCUAAACGAUGGGGACUAGGUAGUGGGCUUGCAUGGGCUCACUGCCGAAGCAAAAGUGUUAAGUCCCCCGCCUGGGGAGUAUGGUCGCAAGGCUGAA
rnacentral:rRNA from 1 species